UGCACUUGCAAGUGAAAAUGGCUGCAAACAGAUGAGCAAUUAUACAACCAUAGCUGAAGAAUAUCCUGCUGAACAAACAAGAAAGUGGUGUCUGAAUGCUCCUGAGGAAAAUGGUUCUUUCAUCUGACCAGGAUCAAAGUCGAACUCUGACACAGAACAUGUCUGUCUGAGGAGGAACCUGCACCUGUGGAACAAAAAAAACUGGAGCCCGACCACAAAGGAUGCACAAAGACCAACCUGGUUCUGAAGCCCAUUACCAGCCUGUCGUCUACAUUCCUACAAGCGAUGACACCAGAAUCCGACCCUGAUGAUGUGUUAAGUCUCUGACUGGGCUCUAAGUCUGCUUUGAGGUGCACAAGGUUUUGCAUGACCUCCUUCUGACAAACUUCUGGGACCAACUUUAUUCCUCUAAACUUUUUGGGUGUCUUUCCAUGUGUAGCAGUGGAGUUGAUGAAGUAGCUAAAAAGGCCAGUAACAGGAUGUCAUUUUGGUAUUUCAUGCUUGUACCGUCUUUGACUGUACUUCUGUGAAAGCUGUUUUCUUUUUGUGUUCUUCAGCCCAACAUUCUGUAUUAAAUGUGUCAUAAUUUCUGAUUUGAUAUGAAAGAAGGGUUCACAUGUGUGAAAAUAUAAAAGCUGUGCAAUGUGUAAUUAACAUUACUUAGUGCAGUUUUCUAAGAGAUGCAUAUAAAUCUGAGAAAAGGCUGUACUAUUUUGACAGAUAGAAGCGGUACUGGUGCAAGAUUUUCUUCAACAAAUGGUCAGCACUGACAUUGAAACACCAACCUUUCAUGAGUGUAUAGGCUGAGAGAUUUAUAAAGGCAACUAUUUAAAUAAAUAUACUGUACCUGCUGAAACAGGAGGAUUAACUGCCUCAAGGCAGGAAGAAGCAAUGGUUAAAAACUUGUUCUGUCUACAACUAAAGUUUAAAUAUUAAUUGAUGUAUGCUGUCUCAGUUUAUAGAAAAAAUAUACCUAACAAUGAAAUCCUUACUUUAAAAGAGAUUUUUAAUCUGCCUGUAUAGUUUUAUUUAUUGAUCUAUUAUUUAUGUCUUUCAGUUGUUUUCUAUUCACUUGUUCAAUCAUUUAAUUACUUCUUCGUUCAGUCAUUCCUUCAGUCAAUCAGUCAUUUGAUUAUUUAUUUA